rnacentral:tRNA from 1 species
AUCUAAAUAGUUUAAUGAAAAUAAUAAUUUGUGGAAUUAUAGAUAUAAUAUUUAUUUUAGAUA